rnacentral:lncRNA from 10 species
UCCAGCUAUUUGGAUUGUACAUGUGACAACUGGGCAGGAGCAGCCAUUAAUGAUCAUGAAGUGGAAGUCCCAUGAUAGGAUGGUGGAACCAUAAGCCUCUGUUCUGGCCAUGAGAUCCCUGGACUAUCGCGGAUGCUUGUGGAGCAAUUUGUAGAAGCCAAAAUACAUCUUAUUUUUACCUGACCCAUUACAUCUGCUAAUGACUUAGGUCAACUGGGUUUCUGAAGUGUGCGAGAAACUGGCUCCCCCAGCUGGGAAAACUGAAGGCCAAGUGAUUGUUCAAGGACACCUGAGCACUAACUAGUUUCUCUCUCUGGAGAAGGAUAUGGGUUUGCUAAAGCUGGAUUUCGUUCAAGAACCAGGAGAAUCCAAUGUUUGUAAACGUUUCCUUAAUGAAGCAUGUAGAUUGUUAGUUUAAGUUUGUCUGGAACGGAAAGUUUGUCUGGAAUCUUGGGUAUGGAAGGCCGUGGUGUAGCAAAAACUGAGCUUUCCAGGUUUCAUUAGAGCUUACUUUGUGUUGAUGCUGUCUCCAACAGCUGGCCAUGUCUCCCUUUGAGCAGUUCCAGGAACCAUGAGAAGCUAUGCUGAAAUAUGUUGUACCUGCUUCUGUCUGUGUGGCUGUCAUGCUUCCAAUAAGUUUCCGUAUCUUGGCUAGGUACACUGAGCACUUAAUCCAAUGUGAUAGACUGGUAUAUGUGUGUAAGCCCAAAAUGCUGGGGAGUGAAAUGAUGGACUGCUUUUAUCUUACUCUAGUUCUUGACCUCUCCUAUUGAAGUGCCAGGAGAAGGAUGAUGGUUACUAAUAAGCAUCAUUUAUGCAAUCUCAUAACAAUUUCUGAGUAUUUGGCUUUGCUUCUUACUGGUAAGUCUGGGCAGUUACUUAACUUUUGCAGUUUGUCAGCUAAAAAAUAACCUAAUAAUGGUACUCUCCUUUUAGGGCUGUUGGUAGGAUUCAAUGUGAUAAAGCAUGUAAAGUAUUUAACAUGCUUCCUGGCUUAUGGGGCCCAAAAUAUGUUAGCUGUCUCUCUUCUUCCUUUUCCUCUCUUGUCUCCUUCUCUCUGGACUUCCCUCCCCUCCCCAUUUCCUGACCCCUUCUACUAAGUGACAGGCAGCUCUGUAAUUUCUAUUUUAAGAAGAAGGUUUGGGUUAUGUAACCAGGUUGGAAGAUGAAGAGGAAUGAACUAGGGAAAUGAUCUUAAGGUUGAGUUUGCCAAGUACAGUUUUCCCUUGGGUUAUGUGUUUAUUCGGGAUGGCUGAGGAUGAGACACUGCAGCGCCCACAAGACACUCCUUGGCACCACCAGGUUCUAUGCCAGGGACCUUGGGAGAUGCAAAGGUUUUGGAGACACUCUCUUUCCUUAAGGAGUAUGGCCUAGGGAGAGAUUUGUGAUUUGGUUGGCUACUCAGUACAUAAGGCAAUUUAUAUUACUUAUGUUAAAACAGAGGUACUCUUGGCCACGGAAACAUAGAAAAAGGAGCAAUAAAUUAUUGAACAAUGUAUUAUCUCUAUAUUCAGAAUCAGAAAAAAAGGAUCUGACUGUCUGCUAAAAAUAGCAAUACAUUCAUAUGUAUAUUGCAUCAGGUAGACGAUUAGGGAGUCUAUAAGCAAAGGCAAUACUGUAUGUAUCAAAGUAUAUCUACGAGAUCAGGAAGAGAGUGGUAGCAAAAAGGAUCUGAAGAACUUCUUCACUACAGCAGAGUUCUGAUUUCACACACAAAUGCUUGUUAAGAGAGUUCUGCUCUCAUGCAGAAGUAGUGAAGGUAAAGUUGAGAGAUACCGGGGGAAACCAGUGUUUGCCUUUAGUUGUAGGCAAUAAAUUGUGUGGGAAAUGCCAAUUUCAAAAUCCCUCCUUUCUACAUGAUUCAAUGUGAGUAAGACAGAAUCGUUGUUGACUGUAAAAUCCAUCUCAAAGACUCAAAAAUCAUUAAUGUCCAAUAAUACUGAUUUGUUUUCUGUUAAAUCUGGGUCUUGUGGCUUCUAUAAGUCUUUCUUUUGGCAGAAAAUUCAAUAAUUUAUUAUCACUGAAGGUAAAAAUAGUCUCAGAAAUGUUUAGUUUGGCUUUGGUGUUAUACACAUUUAGUUCAUAAAAUUCUAGUUGUGUUUCCAUAAUUCUUUACUGGAGAAUUAAUUAAAUUUCUCGUUUCUGCAAUUUACAACUUGACUAUGUUUUUGUUGGAAGUCUGGUGGAAAUUCUCAUUUAUUU